UACGGAGGGGGCGAGCGUUGUUCGGAAUCAUUGGGCGUAAAGGGCGCGUAGGCGGCCUAGCAAGUCGGGUGUGAAAUCCCUCGGCUCAACCGAGGAACCGCACUCGAUACUGCCGGGCUAGAGUCCGGGAGGGGAUGGUGGAAUUCCCAGUGUAGCGGUGAAAUGCGUAGAUAUUGGGAAGAACACCGAUGGCGAAGGCAGCCCCCUGGGCUAACACUGACGCUCAUGCACGAAAGCGUGGGGAGCAAACAGG
rnacentral:rRNA from 1 species